CUUCUAUUAACAUGCCAUCAUCCCUGGGAGAGAUACACGUGCACAAUACGAUCAUUAUUGUUGAGCAAACACUUCACAUAAGGCAAGUUGUUCAAGCAAUUGCCUAAGAAAAAGGAAGAGAUGACCAAUAUUUUGAAGAGUGAGGAAAGCUGAAUUUCCCCAGUGCGACCAUGACAAAGCAGAGAUGCUCAAUCUUCAAGGAUCUCGGGUAUACAGACACAAUUACACACAAAGCGUCAUGGCAUGGUCUCGAAAUAUUGCCUUACUCAUAUGAUCGCUAAGAUCCCAACGGAGGUGAUAAGUGGUGGCGAAACAAAUAAUCAGACCAGCAGAUUCCAUCGUUCCUAGGUGGUAUGUACCUGUGGAUGAAAAAGACGGUCAAAAUCAUGGCCUCCUUGAGGGGCAGUAUAAGAGAGCAGGUGGUGACGAGCAGAAUAGGUCAGCACCAGAGACUGGUCGUCACAACUGGGCCAGGCCCCCGCUUUGGUUUGGGCACUGCCACAGGAGCCACGUGGGGGCAGCGUCCCUUCCUGUCCUCAAGCGACUAGAAAAUUACACAGGAAGCCGGUUACACCAACCUGGCAAAUGUGGAUGAUGAAUAGUGGCUGCCGUUCCCCACGCAUCCUUAUACUUCCCCUGUGAGUACCUUCCAUUGUAGAAAACUCUAAACAAACCAGAAUUAACGGGAAUUCGGCGUCUUCCUUUCCAUCGUGAAAAGUUUCCUUGCCGAACCCUUUUAGGAAACCCCAUUUGGGGAGGGAGGGUUAGAAAUUGGAAAAAGAAAGCCUUAACAUCAGCAUGUUAACUAUUUUUAUGUGUGGAAAGCGAAUAUCUGAUAGGAGAGAUUUUACACAGAGAAACAGUUUGCUCUAAAAAGCAGUGAUGGUGAACCCUCUCUAUACGACAUGGGCGAGUCUCAUGCUGAGUGAAUGAAACCAGACCAAAAAAUCAAAAAAAAAAAAAAAAAAAAAGUGGAGGUAUACUGAAAC